UACGGAGGGGGCUAGCGUUGUUCGGAAUUACUGGGCGUAAAGCGCGCGUAGGCGGACCUGCAAGUCGGGGGUGAAAGCCCGAGGCUCAACCUCGGAACUGCCUUCGAUACUGCGGGUCUCGAGUCCGGGGGAGGUGAGUGGAAUUCCUAGUGUAGAGGUGAAAUUCGUAGAUAUUAGGAAGAACACCAGUGGCGAAGGCGGCUCAGCUGGCCCGUACUGACGCUGAGGCGCGAAAGCGUGGGGAGCAAACAGG
rnacentral:rRNA from 1 species